rnacentral:rRNA from 1 species
AUUGAACGCUGGCGGCAUGCCUUACACAUGCAAGUCGAACGGCAGCACGGGGGCAACCCUGGUGGCGAGUGGCGAACGGGUGAGUAAUGCAUCGGAACGUGCCCAGUAGUGGGGGAUAACCAGUCGAAAGACUGGCUAAUACCGCAUACGACCUACGGGUUACAGCGGGGGACCGUAAGGCCUCGCGCUAUUGGAGCGGCCGAUGUCUGAUUAGCUAGUUGGCGGGGUAAGAGCCCACCAAGGCGACGAUCAGUAGCUGGUCUGAGAGGACGACCAGCCACACUGGGACUGAGACACGGCCCAGACUCCUACGGGAGGCAGCAGUGGGGAAUUUUGGACAAUGGGCGCAAGCCUGAUCCAGCCAUGCCGCGUGCGGGAAGAAGGCCUUCGGGUUGUAAACCGCUUUUGGCAGGAACGAAACGGCGCAAGCCAAUACCUUGCGCUAAUGACGGUACCUGCAGAAUAAGCACCGGCUAACUACGUGCCAGCAGCCGCAGUAAUAC